rnacentral:rRNA from 1 species
GACGAACGCUGGCGGCGUGCCUAAUACAUGCAAGUCGAGCGAAGUUUUUCUGGUGCUUGCACCGGAAAAACUUAGCGGCGAACGGGUGAGUAACACGUAAAGAACCUGCCUCAUAGACUGGGACAACUAUUGGAAACGAUAGCUAAUACCGGAUAAUAGCAUUUACUGCAUGGUUGAUGUUUAAAAGUUGGUUUUGCUAACACUAUGAGAUGGCUUUGCGGUGCAUUAGCUAGUUGGUGGGGUAAAGGCCUACCAAGGCGACGAUGCAUAGCCGACCUGAGAGGGUGAUCGGCCACACUGGGACUGAGACACGGCCCAGACUCCUACGGGAGGCAGCAGUAGGGAAUCUUCCGCAAUGGGCGAAAGCCUGACGGAGCAACGCCGCGUGAGUGAAGAAGGAUUUCGGUUCGUAAAGCUCUGUUGUUAGGGAAGAAUGAUUGUGUAGUAACUAUACACAGUAGAGACGGUACCUAACCAGAAAGCCACGGCUAACUACGUG